rnacentral:lncRNA from 1 species
AAAAAGAGGUGGCAGUACAAGAUGUGAACUGGAAUCACAAAAAGGAGCCCGGUCCUGGCUCGGAGUCUCUGUCAGGUGACCUCAACUGAGUGGUUUAAUCUCCCUGGAGACUUGGGUGCUUAAUCUUUAAUAUGAAGCAGCUAAACAAGUGCCGGCCUUGAGAUAAGGAACGUUAAAACAAUUGCAACUCAUCCAGCUCACAGACAGUAACUAACUGAGCUCCUGUUCCACUCACCAUGACUACAGCUUUAACAGCACAAGAGACUGAUUUCAGUAACUUCCUCCUGACAAGAAGACCACCAACCAUGAACUGGUUUUGGCAAUUUAUAGAGACUGGGCACUUGUGUGCCUUCACGUUCUGAAAAGACCUUUUGACAUAUAAGGCCUAAUUGUAAUAAAUGUCAAUGUUAAGUGUCCACCCCAAAAUGAACAUAGGUUGUAUGUUAUAUGCAUGUUUUCUCAAUAUGCAUGUGUCAGGACCACUGUCACGAAUAUUCACAGCUCCUACUGUAACCUGCUGAAUAUGUAUGUUUAACCUACCUGUUUAGCAUAAAGCUCCUGCUCCAAUCUCUCCUUCUUCGAAGUUCCUAUCUCUGGUCUCUGACCAAAUUCAUGCUUCCUGGCCUGCAAGACGGCAACCUUGCAGGCUGUACCCCUUUAUGAGAAAUACGGUCUCCUCUAAAUUUACAAAUGUGUG